GCGCUCCGAAAAUCCUCUCAUUUCUUCCGCCUCUCCGUCUCCCCUCCCUAGAGCUCCCAAAACCCUACCGCCCUCCUCUUCCUCCUAACGGCCCUGACGAAGCCAAAUCCAAGCUCGGCACCUCCAUCAUAGAUCAGUAUAUUGUUGCUAUCCAUGUCUUUUAUAGUAAUCGAGAGGAUUUGACUGUGAAGAAAUACUAAUAGAAGAGGAUUGUUGAGAAGGAAAUUGAUUUGCAUGGGAGCUUUAUGGUGAUGACUAUUAUGGUGAAGAAAGGAUUUGACUUAUAUUGGAACUUUGUGGAAGCUUUAUGGCUUCGUAGUUGUUGAUUAAGAUUUGGAUAUUUCAUAACUUUUUGGGUGCUGUAUGAGACCUAUCAUUUUAUUUAUCAAUUUUUAUUAUGAAGAUGAUGUACGGAGG